rnacentral:rRNA from 1 species
AACGAACGCUGGCGGCAGGCCUAACACAUGCAAGUCGAACGCAGUAGCAAUACUGAGUGGCAGACGGGUGAGUAACAUGUGGGAAUCUGCCUUGUGGUUCAGGACAACAUUGGGAAACCGAUGCUAAUACUGGAUAAGCCCUUACGGGGAAAGUUUUAAUGCCAUAAGAUGAGCCCGCAUUUGAUUAGUUAGUUGGUGAGGUAAUGGCUCACCAAGACAAUGAUCAAUAGCUGAUCUGAGAGGAUGAUCAGCCACACUGGGACUGAGACACGGCCCAGACUCCUACGGGAGGCAGCAGUGGGGAAUCUUGCACAAUGGAGGAAACUCUGAUGCAGCGAUGCCGCGUGAGUGAAGAAGGCCUUUGGGUUGUAAAGCUCUUUUGUAGGGGAAGAUAAUGACUGUACCCUAAGAAUGAGGUCCGGCUAACUUCGUGCCAGCAGCCGCGUAA